GUCAGUCAUAAAAGGGAAGAAAAUACAAUAGAGAAACGUAAUGAGUUUACUUUCAGCGUUAUCAGCGGGAAUUCUGUUCUUAUCGCUCCGGUAUUGGCCUGAUAAGCUAACCCCCAUACCCUCACUAGGCAACCACCGAACCAUAUCUAAUGUCUGUGUGUGUUCUUCACCUUUUGGUGAAGUUUCUUCCUUUAGAGAUCUUUCUUUCAGCAUAUGCUGAUCCACACUCCAUGAACUUAUGACUCGGUCUACGACUGAGAUCUUGUGCUGCUCAGGGCUUUGGAACAGCACGCGCUUUGGCUUUCAAUUGAAAUCUGACUCCGGUUGUAAAACCAGUCAAAUGGAAAGUUGCAAACCCAGACACACUUCACAACACCACUUAAAACACAAGAAUGGGCGUGUCAAGGAGGCGUUUUAAUGGUCACGUUGACUCAAGAUGAAAUGAAUUACAGACCAAACCAUGUUUUGCAUAGGCCACAAAAAAAAAGAAAUCACAAAAGGGUUAAAACACAAUGACCAGACAGGGGAGUGCAAGAUGAUACGACUGACUGACGUCUGGCCACAAUGUGCAGUGCAUGGUGUUACGAAAUACACGUCGAAAUAUUAACACAGACAGACACAAAUAUGGCCAAACAGGUGGCUGCCACACAGAGUGCGAAGGAGAGAGGCAGAGACAGCAAGAGAUACCACCAUACCGCGGAAGCAAGAGUUGGGUAAACAACACAACACACACCGAGAGAGUGCGGCGGCGCAGCGAUCAGUGCGGACUCCUACGUGUAUGUACAUGUACCUGGGAUAUGUGUACAUAAAAUGACUGAUGUAGCGGGAAUGAAGGCGGGUCAUUAGGUGUCAUUUAAUAUGCAAGAGCAUUCAAGCGGAGGUGGGCUAAGAUAUGACAUUACUAUUGAUUUUAAGGAUGGGUCCUUCAAACGAACUGGGUCAAGUACUUCACUUUGAUAAUUGCCUUUGACAAUAGAUUUGGAUUAUUCAUGCGAAACCAAAAAGUCACCAAUCUGAUAAAAUUGUGAUGAAAUAUGUAUAAAUAAAUGACGUCACGUGGUCGGAACAGCAAGGAACACGUCAGAGGUAGAACAGAAUACCCGGGCACGGGGGUACGGUACGGGUGUACACGCACGCUCACAAAUUGCCUCCGAUUGACAUGUCUGAACUUUAAAUAAUAAAACAAGAUCAAAAUGACAAA
rnacentral:sRNA from 1 species